CAGAGAAAUUUGGAUUAAUACCUCAUAGUAUAAUGAGUUGGCAUCAACACAUUAUUAAAGUCACAACGGUAAAAGAUGAGCAUGCGUCCCAUUAGCUUGUUGGUAAGGUAACGGCUUACCAAGGCAACGAUGGGUAGGGGUCCUGAGAGGGAGAUCCCCCACACUGGUACUGAGACACGGACCAGACUCCUACGGGAGGCAGCAGUGAGGAAUAUUGGACAAUGGGCGCAAGCCUGAUCCAGCCAUGCCGCGUGCAGGAUGACGGUCCUAUGGAUUGUAAACUGCUUUUGUACAGGAAGAAACACUGGUUCGUGAACCAGCUUGACGGUACUGUAAGAAUAAGGAUCGGCUAACUCCGUGCCAGCAGCCGCGGUAAUACGGAGGAUCCAAGCGUUAUCCGGAAUCAUUGGGUUUAAAGGGUCCGUAGGCGGUCAGAUAAGUCAGUGGUGAAAGCCCAUCGCUCAACGGUGGAACGGCCAUUGAUACUGUCUGACUUGAAUUAUUAGGAAGUAACUAGAAUAUGUAGU
rnacentral:rRNA from 1 species